rnacentral:tRNA from 1 species
GCUCAGUUGGUUGAGCAUCCAACUCUUGAUUUCAGCUCAGGUUAUGAUCCCAAGUUUGUGGGAUCGAGCCCCAUAUUGGGCU